GACGAACGCUGGCGGCGUGCUUAACACAUGCAAGUCGAACGGAAAGGCCCUGCUUUUGUGGGGUGCUCGAGUGGCGAACGGGUGAGUAACACGUGAGUAACCUGCCCUUGACUUUGGGAUAACUUCAGGAAACUGGGGCUAAUACCGGAUAGGAGCUCCUGCUGCAUGGUGGGGGUUGGAAAGUUUCGGCGGUUGGGGAUGGACUCGCGGCUUAUCAGCUUGUUGGUGGGGUAGUGGCUUACCAAGGCUUUGACGGGUAGCCGGCCUGGGAGGGUGACCGGCCCCAUUGGGACUGGGGUACGGCCCAGACUCCUUCGGGAGGCAGCAGUGGGGACUAUUGCACAAUGGGCGGAAGCCUGAUGGAGCAACGCCGCGUGCGGGAUGACGGCUUUCGGGUUGUAAACCGCUUUCGCCUGUGACGAAGCGUGAGUGACGGUAAUGGGUAAAGAAGCACCGGCUAACUACGU
rnacentral:rRNA from 1 species